UACGGGGGGGGGUAAGCGUUGUUCGGAAUUACUGGGCGUAAAGGGCUCGUAGGCGGCCAACUAAGUCAUACGUGAAAUCCCUCAGCUUAACUGGGGAACUGCGUCUGAUACUGGAUGGCUUGGAUUCGGGAGAGGAAUGCGGAAUUCCAGGUGUAGCGGUGAAAUGCGUAGAUAUCUGGAGGAACACCGGUGGCGAAGGCGGCCUUCUGGACAGUGACUGACGCUGAGACGGCGAAAGCGUGGGGAGCAAACAGG
rnacentral:rRNA from 1 species